GGCGGCCGUAGCGCGGUGGUCCCACCUGACCCCAUGCCGAACUCAGAAGUGAAACGCCGUAGCGCCGAUGGUAGUGUGGGGUCUCCCCAUGCGAGAGUAGGGAACUGCCA
rnacentral:rRNA from 2 species